AUGUACCGCUCGUACACUCCGGUUCCUGCGCGCCGCCCGCCGCAAGCUUCCUUCGCUCGCUACGGUUUUCGGGCAGGCC
rnacentral:sRNA from 3 species